AAUCAACGCUGGCGGCGUGCCUCAGACAUGCAAGUCGAACGCGAAAGUCCCCUUCGGGGGACAAGUAGAGUGGCGCACGGGUGAGUAACACGUAGGUAAUCUACCUUCGGAUGGGGAAUAACACCGAGAAAUCGGUGCUAAUACCGCAUAAUGCAGCGGCACCUAAUGGUGACAGUUGUUAAAGCGGGGGAUCGCAAGACCUCGCGUCUGAAGAGGAGCCUGCGGCGGAUUAGCUAGUUGGUAAGGUAAUGGCUUACCAAGGCGACGAUCCGUAACCGGCCUGAGAGGGCGGUCGGUCACACUGACACUGACAUACGGGUCAGACUCCUACGGGAGGCAGCAGUCGGGAAUUUUGGGCAAUGGGCGAAAGCCUGACCCAGCAACGCCGCGUGAAGGAUGAAAUCCCUCGGGAUGUAAACUUCGCAAGAACGGGAAGAAUAAGGUCGUGUAAAUACCACGAUCGAUGACGGUACCGUUUGUAAGCUCCGGCUAACUCCGUGCCAGCAGCCGCGGU
rnacentral:rRNA from 1 species